GACGAACGCUGGCGGCGUGCUUAACACAUGCAAGUCGAACGGAAAGGCCCUGCUUGCAGCGUACUCGAGUGCCUAAUGGGUUUCUAACACGUGGAUGAUCUGCCCUGCACUUCGGGAUCAGCUUGGGUAACUGGGUCUAAUACCGCAUAUGAGCCAAUCCUAGUGUGCUGCUUGGUAAUUUUUUUCGGUGUCGGAUGAGCUCCCGGCCUGUCAGCUUGUUGGUGGGGUAAUGGCCUACCAAGGCGCCGACGGGUAGCCGGCCUGGAAGGUUGGACGGCCACAGUGGGGCGGCGGUAGAGCCCAGACUCCUGCAGGAAGCAGCAGUGGGGAAUAUUGCACAAUGGGCGCAAGCCUGAGGCAGCGACGCCGAGGGGGAGAUGACGGCCUUCGGGUUGUAAACUCCUUGAGCUAAGGACGAAGCAUUUUGUGACGGUACGUAGGUAAAGAGCAAGGGCUAGCAACGUA
rnacentral:rRNA from 1 species